rnacentral:rRNA from 1 species
GACGAACGCUGGCGGCGUGCCUAAUACAUGCAAGUCGAACGAGAGCGACCGGUGCUUGCACUGGUCAAUCUAGUGGCGAACGGGUGAGUAACACGUGGGUAACCUGCCCAUCAGAGGGGGAUAACAUCCGGAAACGGAUGCUAAAACCGCAUAGGUCUUCGAACCGCAUGGUUUGAAGAGGAAAAGAGGCGCAAGCUUCUGCUGAUGGAUGGACCCGCGGUGCAUUAGCUAGUUGGUGAGGUAACGGCUCACCAAGGCCGUGAUGCAUAGCCGACCUGAGAGGGUGAUCGGCCACAUUGGGACUGAGACACGGCCCAAACUCCUACGGGAGGCAGCAGUAGGGAAUCUUCCGCAAAGGACGCAAGUCUGACGGAGCAACGCCGCGUGAGUGAAGAAGGUUUUCGGAUCGUAAAACUCUGUUGUCAGAGAAGAACAAGUGCUAGAGUAACUGUUAGCGCCUUGACGGUAUCUAACCAGAAAGCCACGGCUAACUACGUG